rnacentral:rRNA from 1 species
CGCCGUAAACGAUGAGUGCUAAGUGUUAGGGGGGUUCCGCCCCUUAGUGCUGCAGCUAACGCAUUAAGCACUCCGCCUGGGGAGUACGACCGCAAGGUUGAAACUCAAAGGAAUUGACGGGGACCCGAACAAGCGGUGGAGCAUGUGGUUUAAUUCGAAGCAACGCGAAGAACCUUACCAAAUCUUGACAUCCUUUGACAACUCUAGAGAUAGAG